rnacentral:rRNA from 1 species
AGGGUUCGAUUCUGGCUCAGGAUGAACGCUGGCGGCGUGCUUAACACAUGCAAGUCGAACGGGAUCCAUCAAGCUUGCUUGGUGGUGAGAGUGGCGAACGGGUGAGUAAUGCGUGACCGACCUGCCCCAUACACCGGAAUAGCUCCUGGAAACGGGUGGUAAUGCCGGAUGCUCCAGUUGAUCGCAUGGUCUUCUGGGAAAGCUUUCGCGGUAUGGGAUGGGGUCGCGUCCUAUCAGCUUGACGGCGGGGUAACGGCCCACCGUGGCUUCGACGGGUAGCCGGCCUGAGAGGGCGACCGGCCACAUUGGGACUGAGAUACGGCCCAGACUCCUACGGGAGGCAGCAGUGGGGAAUAUUGCACAAUGGGCGCAAGCCUGAUGCAGCGACGCCGCGUGAGGGAUGGAGGCCUUCGGGUUGUAAACCUCUUUUAUCGGGGAGCAAGCGAGAGUGAGUUUACCCGUUGAAUAAGCACCGGCUAACUACGUGCCAGCAGCCGCGGUAAUACGUAGGGUGCAAGCGUUAUCCGGAAUUAUUGGGCGUAAAGGGCUCGUAGGCGGUUCGUCGCGUCCGGUGUGAAAGUCCAUCGCUUAACGGUGGAUCCGCGCCGGGUACGGGCGGGCUUGAGUGCGGUAGGGGAGACUGGAAUUCCCGGUGUAACGGUGGAAUGUGUAGAUAUCGGGAAGAACACCAAUGGCGAAGGCAGGUCUCUGGGCCGUUACUGACGCUGAGGAGCGAAAGCGUGGGGAGCGAACAGGAUUAGAUACCCUGGUAGUCCACGCCGUAAACGGUGGAUGCUGGAUGUGGGGCCCGUUCCACGGGUUCCGUGUCGGAGCUAACGCGUUAAGCAUCCCGCCUGGGGAGUACGGCCGCAAGGCUAAAACUCAAAGAAAUUGACGGGGGCCCGCACAAGCGGCGGAGCAUGCGGAUUAAUUCGAUGCAACGCGAAGAACCUUACCUGGGCUUGACAUGUUCCCGA